AUGUUAGCGGCGGACGGGUGAGUAACACGUGGGUAACCUGCCUGUAAGACUGGGAUAACUCCGGGAAACCGGGGCUAAUACCGGAUGCUUGUUUGAACCGCAUGGUUCAAACAUAAAAGGUGGCUUCGGCUACCACUUACAGAUGGACCCGCGGCGCAUUAGCUAGUUGGUGAGGUAACGGCUCACCAAGGCAACGAUGCGUAGCCGACCUGAGAGGGUGAUCGGCCACACUGGGACUGAGACACGGCCCAGACUCCUACGGGAGGCAGCAGUAGGGAAUCUUCCGCAAUGGACGAAAGUCUGACGGAGCAACGCCGCGUGAGUGAUGAAGGUUUUCGGAUCGUAAAGCUCUGUUGUUAGGGAAGAACAAGUACCGUUCGAAUAGGGCGGUACCUUGACGGUACCUAACCAGAAAGCCACGGCUAACUACGUGCCAGCAGCCGCGGUAAUACGUAGGUGGCAAGCGUUGUCCGGAAUUAUUGGGCGUAAAGGGCUCGCAGGCGGUUUCUUAAGUCUGAUGUGAAAGCCCCCGGCUCAACCGGGGAGGGUCAUUGGAAACUGGGGAACUUGAGUGCAGAAGAGGAGAGUGGAAUUCCACGUGUAGCGGUGAAAUGCGUAGAGAUGUGGAGGAACACCAGUGGCGAAGGCGACUCUCUGGUCUGUAACUGACGCUGAGGAGCGAAAGCGUGGGGAGCGAACAGGAUUAGAUACCCUGGUAGUCCACGCCGUAAACGAUGAGUGCUAAGUGUUAGGGGGUUUCCGCCCCUUAGUGCUGCAGCUAACGCAUUAAGCACUCCGCCUGGGGAGUACGGUCGCAAGACUGAAACUCAAAGGAAUUGACGGGGGCCCGCACAAGCGGUGGAGCAUGUGGUUUAAUUCGAAGCAACGCGAAGAACCUUACCAGGUCUUGACAUCCUCUGACAAUCCUAGAGAUAGGACGUCCCCUUCGGGGGCAGAGUGACAGGUGGUGCAUGGUUGUCGUCAGCUCGUGUCGUGAGAUGUUGGGUUAAGUCCCGCAACGAGCGCAACCCUUGAUCUUAGUUGCCAGCAUUCAGUUGGGCACUCUAAGGUGACUGCCGGUGACAAACCGGAGGAAGGUGGGGAUGACGUCAAAUCAUCAUGCCCCUUAUGACCUGGGCUACACACGUGCUACAAUGGACAGAACAAAGGG
rnacentral:rRNA from 1 species